GAGAGUUUGAUCCUGGCUCAGGAUGAACGCUGGCGGCGUGCCUAAUACAUGCAAGUCGAGCGAAUGGAUUAAGAGCUUGCUCUUAUGAAGUUAGCGGCGGACGGGUGAGUAACACGUGGGUAACCUGCCCAUAAGACUGGGAUAACUCCGGGAAACCGGGGCUAAUACCGGAUAACAUUUUGAACCGCAUGGUUCGAAAUUGAAAGGCGGCUUCGGCUGUCACUUAUGGAUGGACCCGCGUCGCAUUAGCUAGUUGGUGAGGUAACGGCUCACCAAGGCAACGAUGCGUAGCCGACCUGAGAGGGUGAUCGGCCACACUGGGACUGAGACACGGCCC
rnacentral:rRNA from 1 species